CCAGUGGAUCACUUGGCUCACAGGCUUAUGAAAAGUGCAGCCAGCUGCAAGAUUUGGUGUGAAUUGCAGGACACUCAGAUCACUGAUAUUUCGAACAUGCAUUGUAGCUCCGACUCUGUGUUGGAGGCUUGCCAAUCUGAGGGU